rnacentral:rRNA from 1 species
UGAUCCUGGCUCAGGAUGAACGCUGGCGGCGUGCUUAACACAUGCAAGUCGAACGGUGAAGCCAAGCUUGCUUGGUGGAUCAGUGGCGAACGGGUGAGUAACACGUGAGCAACCUGCCCUGAACUUCUGGGAUAAGCGCUGGAAACGGCGUCUAAUACUGGAUAUGAGCUGCGGAGGCAUCUUCGUGGUUGGAAAGAUUUUUCGGUUUGGGAUGGGCUCGCGGCCUAUCAGCUUGUUGGUGAGGUAAUGGCUCACCAAGGCGUCGACGGGUAGCCGGCCUGAGAGGGUGACCGGCCACACUGGGACUGAGACACGGCCCAGACUCCUACGGGAGGCAGCAGUGGGGAAUAUUGCACAAUGGGCGGAAGCCUGAUGCAGCAACGCCGCGUGAGGGAUGACGGCCUUCGGGUUGUAAACCUCUUUUAGCAGGGAAGAAGCGAAAGUGACGGUACCUGCAGAAAAAGCGCCGGCUAACUACGUGCCAGCAGCCGCGGUAAUACGUAGGGCGCAAGCGUUAUCCGGAAUUAUUGGGCGUAAAGAGCUCGUAGGCGGUUUGUCGCGUCUGCUGUGAAAUCUGGGGGCUCAACCCCCAGCCUGCAGUGGGUACGGGCAGACUAGAGUGCGGUAGGGGAGAUUGGAAUUCCUGGUGUAGCGGUGGAAUGCGCAGAUAUCAGGAGGAACACCGAUGGCGAAGGCAGAUCUCUGGGCCGUAACUGACGCUGAGGAGCGAAAGGGUGGGGAGCAAACAGGCUUAGAUACCCUGGUAGUCCACCCCGUAAACGUUGGGAACUAGUUGUGGGGUCCAUUCCACGGAUUCCGUGACGCAGCUAACGCAUUAAGUUCCCCGCCUGGGGAGUACGGCCGCAAGGCUAAAACUCAAAGGAAUUGACGGGGACCCGCACAAGCGGCGGAGCAUGCGGAUUAAUUCGAUGCAACGCGAAGAACCUUACCAAGGCUUGACAUACACGAGAACGCUGCAGAAAUGUAGAACUCUUUGGACACUCGUGAACAGGUGGUGCAUGGUUGUCGUCAGCUCGUGUCGUGAGAUGUUGGGUUAAGUCCCGCAACGAGCGCAACCCUCGUUCUAUGUUGCCAGCACGUAAUGGUGGGAACUCAUGGGAUACUGCCGGGGUCAACUCGGAGGAAGGUGGGGAUGACGUCAAAUCAUCAUGCCCCUUAUGUCUUGGGCUUCACGCAUGCUACAAUGGCCGGUACAAAGGGCUGCAAUACCGCGAGGUGGAGCGAAUCCCAAAAAGCCGGUCCCAGUUCGGAUUGAGGUCUGCAACUCGACCUCAUGAAGUCGGAGUCGCUAGUAAUCGCAGAUCAGCAACGCUGCGGUGAAUACGUUCCCGGGUCUUGUACACACCGCCCGUCAAGUCAUGAAAGUCGGUAACACCUGAAGCCGGUGGCCCAACCCUUGUGGAGGGAGCCGUCGAAGGUGGGAUCGGUAAUUAGGACUAAGUCGUAACAAGGUAGCCGUACCGGAAGGUGCGGCUGGAUCACCUCCUU